rnacentral:lncRNA from 1 species
UGAAAAAGUGGAACACCGUAAGCGCAAGGGACAAAAACCAAGCAAUGGUGAAGAUAAGAGUCGAUCUACCAAAAAAAUGAAUGUGAAGGAGAUAAAAGCAAAGUGAUGCUGAAAUUUUGGCCAAACAAUAUCACAAUCUGAAUGUUGUACUUAUGAUUUCUUUUUCAUUUUUCAAUUUCGAUAUUUAUAUUUUAAGAUAUGCCUGAGAUGUUUCAUUCAACCAAGUAGAAUUCCCCACUUGCCGAAUUUACUUUCUUGUGUUCGAUAAGGUUUUGUGCUUCAAUUUAGUGGUAGUGACUAGUUUAUCUCCAUUUAUGAAACUGUAACAAAUUUUGAGG